GGGUUGUGCCCGGCUGCCCUAGCCCACGGGUCACCCAAGGGACGGGACUUCUGGACACGGGCUCUGUGCCCUCUCCUGUUGCCUGCUGCUUCCCACUAGUGUCUAGGGUGGAGACCGGGGUGGGAACGCAGGGCGCCUGCUCCGGUCCUAGGAUCCAAGCCUCUCCCCGGGACCGCCGGGGGGCGGGCUACGCCUCGGGAGCUCGGCAGCUUCUCCGAGCUGCUUCGGCCGGUUCUCUUUCCCCUAAUUGGCCUCUCCCGGAUGUGUUCACUUGGAAGCGCCGAAGCCUUGGGGGCAUCCACUAUUCCCUGGGCGCUGCCUGAGCCCUUCCAACUACUUUGAGCCUGUCCAGUCAGACUGGAAGUGGAAGGACUCCCUUCCCGAGCAAGAGAUUCCAAAGGGGUCGUCAAAGUGAGCGGAAGGAGCGAAUCAUAGAACAAUCAUGAACUUCAUGAUGUGCAGGAGAGAAGGCGGCAGGCAGCUUCCAAGGCCACAUCCGUCAUACACAGAACUCAAACUCUCCCUGGAGCCACAAGGAGGAGGUGCAUUCCCAUGGCACGGGCAUUCUGAAGUUGUAAGCAGGAGAGUGAGAACAGACCUUUGUUCCCUACUCAGAACUUCACAGCUGUGAGCUUGUUGUGCGCCUUCCUGGAGGUUGCUUACACAUUAGCAAAUAUGUAUCUAUUCGCAGCCCCCACCCCCACCUUAUACACAGAUGGACACAAAACACAAGCUACUCUGAACUUUAAAAAAAAAAAAAAACAAAGUGAUAUACUUUAGAGAUCUUGCA
rnacentral:lncRNA from 1 species